GACAUCACCGAUAGGGCGUUUCUAUGUAGAUGAGGCAGCGCAGGGGCUGCUGCUUCGCCAUGAAGGAUUUCCCGUGCUGUAGGAGCAAGUCCGGGACCGCUGGCUGGACGUGAGCGUCCUAGCUGUGCGUUAGGGCUAGGAGGGCUCAGGGUGAUUGGGGAUUGGCUGGGGUGGUGCUCGGGGCAAGUGACCGUGCGUGUAAAGGGUGAGGCGUAUGGAGCUGUGGCGGGGCGGAAGUUCACAUGUGUGGUAUGUAGAGCACAUGUUAUGGUUAUCAAAGUGGUUUACUGUAAGGCUGAGGGCUAUGCAUUCUAUGGCUAUGUUGUUGUCUCUUAUUUUUCCAAACGUGGAAACCUCUGUUUUGUAACUUGUAGUAAUAAGGUA
rnacentral:lncRNA from 1 species